rnacentral:rRNA from 1 species
UACAGGGGGGGCAAGCGUUGUUCGGAAUUACUGGGCGUAAAGGGUCUGUAGGUGGCCAACUAAGUCAAACGUGAAAUCCCCGGGCUUAACCCGGGAACUGCGACCGAUACUGGUUGGCUUGAAUUCGGGAGAGGGAUGCGGAAUUCCAGGUGUAGCGGUGAAAUGCGUAGAUAUCUGGAGGAACACCGGUGGCGAAGGCGGCAUCCUGGACCGGCAUUGACGCUGAGGCGCGAAAGCCAGGGGAGCAAACGGG